rnacentral:tRNA from 1 species
GGCUUAGUGGUGAAAUGGUAACACAUUCUCUGUGACGCCAGAAAGUCCUAUGUUCGAUUCGUAGUGAUAUCA